GUGCCAGCAGCCGCGGUAAUACAGAGGUGGCAAGCGUUGUUCGGAAUUACUGGGCGUAAAGGGCGCGUAGGUGGCCUUUUGAGUCAGACGUGAAAUCCCCCGGCUUAACCUGGGAACUGCGUCUGAUACUGGAAGGCUUGAGUUCGGGAGAGGGAUGUGGAAUUCCAGGUGUAGCGGUGAAAUGCGUAGAUAUCUGGAGGAACACCGGUGGCGAAGGCGGCAUCCUGGACCGAAACUGACACUGAGGCGCGAAAGCCAGGGGAGCAAACGGGAUUAGAAACCCCGGUAGUCC
rnacentral:rRNA from 1 species